rnacentral:rRNA from 1 species
GACGAACGCUGGCGGCGUGCCUAAUACAUGCAAGUAGAACGCACAGUUUAUACCGUAGCUUGCUACACCAUAGACUGUGAGUUGCGAACGGGUGAGUAACGCGUAGGUAACCUGCCUGGUAGCGGGGGAUAACUAUUGGAAACGAUAGCUAAUACCGCAUAAUAUUAAUUAUUGCAUGAUAAUUGAUUGAAAGCUGCAACUGCAUCACUACCAGAUGGACCUGCGUUGUAUUAGCUAGUAGGUGAGGUAACGGCUCACCUAGGCGACGAUACAUAGCCGACCUGGGAGGGUGAUCGGCCACACUGGGACUGAGACACGGCCCAGACUCCUACGGGAGGGAGCAGGAGGGAAUCUUCGGCAAUGGACGAAAGGCUGACCGAGCAACGCCGCGUGAGGGAAGAAGGUUGUCGGAUCGUAAAGCUCGGUUGUAAGAGAAGAAAGGGUGUGAGAGUGGAAAGUUCACACUGUGACGGUAUCUUAACAGAAAGGGACGGCUAACUACGUG